rnacentral:rRNA from 1 species
UAAUGCCGGAUGCUCCAGUUGAUCGCAUGGUCUUCUGGGAAAGCUUUCGCGGUAUGGGAUGGGGUCGCGUCCUAUCAGCUUGACGGCGGGGUAACGGCCCACCGUGGCUUCGACGGGUAGCCGGCCUGAGAGGGCGACCGGCCACAUUGGGACUGAGAUACGGCCCAGACUCCUACGGGAGGCAGCAGUGGGGAAUAUUGCACAAUGGGCGCAAGCCUGAUGCAGCGACGCCGCGUGAGGGAUGGAGGCCUUCGGGUUGUAAACCUCUUUUAUCGGGGAGCAAGCGAGAGUGAGUUUACCCGUUGAAUAAGCACCGGCUAACUACGUGCCAGCAGCCGCGGUAAUACGUAGGGUGCAAGCGUUAUCCGGAAUUAUUGGGCGUAAAGGGCUCGUAGGCGGUUCGUCGCGUCCGGUGUGAAAGUCCAUCGCUUAACGGUGGAUCCGCGCCGGGUACGGGCGGGCUUGAGUGCGGUAGGGGAGACUGGAAUUCCCGGUGUAACGGUGGAAUGUGUAG